rnacentral:rRNA from 1 species
CGCAACGAGCGCAACCCCUMCUGCCAGUUACUAACAGGUUAAAGCUGAGGGCUCUGGCGGAACUGCCGGUGACAAACCGGAGGAAGGUGGGGAUGACGUCAAGUCAUCAUGGCCCUUAUGUCCAGGGCUACACACGUGCUACAAUGGGAGAUACAAAGCGAAGCGAGGCUGUGAGGCGAGAGCGAAGCGCAAAAAGUCUUCCGUAGUUCGGAUUGAAGUCUGAAACCCGACUUCAUGAAGCUGGAAUCGCUAGUAAUCGUACAUCAGCAUGGUACGGUGAAUACGUUCCCGGGCCUUGUACACACCGCCCGUCACACCAUCCGAGUUGGAGGUACCCGAAGCCGGUAGUCUAACCGCAAGGGGGACGCUGUCGAAGGUACGUUUAGUGAGGAGGGUGAAGUCGUAACAAGGUAGCCGUACUGGAAAGUGCGGCUGGAUCACCUCCUUUCU